UGGCUCUCGCAUCGAUGAAGAACGCAGCGAAAUGCGAUAAGUAAUGUGAAUUGCAGAAUUCAGUGAAUCAUCGAAUCUUUGAACGCAACUUGCGCUCUCUGGUAUUCCGGAGAGCAUGCCUGUUUGAGUGUCAUGAAAUCUCAACCAUUAGGGUUUCUUAAUGGCUUGGAUUUGAGUGUUGGCAGUCUCUGCCUCACUUUAAAGGAGUUAGCGAGUUUAACAAUGUCGUCUGGCGUAAUAAGUUUCGCUGGUAAGACUUGUGAAGUUUGCUUCUAAUCGUCUUCGGACAAUUACUUUGACUCUGGCCUCAAAUCAGGUAGGACUACCCGCUGA
rnacentral:misc_RNA from 1 species